rnacentral:rRNA from 1 species
CGUUAAGGAAGUAAUUUAAGUACGCACCUGUAAACGGCGGGAGUAACUAUGACUCUCUUAAGGUAGCCAAAUGCCUCGUCGCCUAAUUAGCGACGCGCAUGAAUGGAGCAACGAGAUUCCCACUGUCCCUGCUCACAGAUUUGCGAACCUACAGCCAAGGGAACGGGCUUGGGACAUGCAGCGGGGAAAGAAGACCCUGUUGAGCUUGACUCUAGCCAAGCACAGGCCUCUGUGACUAUAUCGUAGCGAGGUGGGAGAAAUGUGUGAGACCACUGACAUAGUCGGCGGGGGCACUCGCAAAGCUUGGUGGGGAGUUUGGCUGGGGCGGCACGACUACUAAAACAUAACGUAGACGUCCAAAGGUAAGCUCCGAGGGGAUGGAAACCACUCCGAGAGUAUAAGGGCAAAAGCUUGCUUUAGUUAUUAAUGUAAAUUAAUAAUACUGGAAACAGGGGCCUAGAGAUCCUCUAUGAAACUAAGCAUAGAGGUGACGGAAAAGUUACCACAGGGAUAACUGGCUUGUGGCGGCCGAGCGUCCAUAGCGACGCCGCUUUUUGAUUCUUCGAUGUCGGCUCUUCCGAGCAUGGUGGAGUAUCAGCCACCAAGUGUGUGAUUGUUCACCAACUAACAGGGAACGUGAGCUGGGUUUAGACCGUCGCGAGACAGGUUAGUUUUACCCUACUGCAUCGCGUCCGAGAGUAGGUCGGGGCAGUACGAGAGGAAGUGCCGAUCAGAACCGCUGGUGAUACUUUCGUCUGUUAAGGCGCGAAGUGUAGCUACGUUCUUCUUAUAAUAGCUGAAAGCCUCUAAGCUAGAA